rnacentral:lncRNA from 1 species
AACUGCAUGUUGUUAUGCUCCUGGCCCGCAAGAGUAUAAACUGUGUACGACCAAAAAAAAGUCCGCUAGGUUGAAAAUCUCAAAAGAAGCGGCCUAGGCAAAAGUUAGGACCGAAAAAAAGGAAAAAAAGAGUCCUCUAGGUUGAAAACAUCGAAAGAGGCUGCCUAGAAAAAAAUUAGGACAUAAAAAAAAUCACCCAGUCUGAACUACGGUAUGACUUGAUCCUCUUCACCAGGGUACGUAGACAGCUUAGAGUUUCAUUCUAAGAUCAGUCGCAUAAGUUCAAAAGAUACAUAUUGCCCCAAUUGUUGUUCAAAUGAAGUAUGAAGGAACGCAAGAUCAAGCUGAAAUGCCAUCCCCUUGUGGAACUUUGAUCUCAUUUAAAUGAACCGAGGGAGAGUCGAGGCAUGAAAAAACUUAUCUAUGAUCUGCUUAUUUCUAAGUACGUAUCAUCCAUUGCCUUACCCACCGUCUCUGCGGCCGCCAAAGGGGAAACCCUCCAUGGUAAAUUGAUAUCUUCAAGUCCGUCGGUACUCAAGUUGAAGUCCCCAAGUUGAAAUCUUUAACUCCGUCGGUCUCCAAGUUUCAGUCUUCAAAUUCGUCGAUCUUAAAG